CUGCUGUGAUGAACCACUGUUAGUGCCAUCGUGUCUGGGCCACUGAUGCUCUGUGAUGGAACUGAGGAUCUGAGUAG
rnacentral:snoRNA from 1 species